rnacentral:lncRNA from 1 species
CGCGAUCCUGGUCAGGCUGGCUGUGAGCAGGUAGGGAAGCAGCAGAUUCCUCUUGGAGAUAGAUUGUGUGUUGGGCUGCUCCGUUGUGAGGGUUUUGCUCCUUGGUGAGGAAGGUGGUGUUAGUGAACUUAAGUAUCUGGUGUAGAGGUAUAGUUAAAAGACUUUUGGUAGAAAGUAAAAGCUUUAUUUAAAGUCUGGUGCACACUCAGCCCUGCUCUUGAGGGCCCAGUGCCGGGAGGAGGAAGAAGAGGGGGAAUCAGUCCUGCUCUAAGUUCUGCACCCUCCCUUUCAGGCCGGGCAGCACCUGGCRGCUCAGACGUCAGCGCCRCUUCGCUGGGGGUYGCAGGCGGCUACGAGCAUCUCCCCYGGCKCYGUCUCUCUCUGCCGCGACUCUUGGAGCCCUCCCUCCUGCCCGUCGCCUCCUCGUCCCUUGCAGCGUGUCCCAGGGAGGAUGUUCAGUGCAGCAGGAACAGCCGACUGGAUCUCGCUUUCCCUGUGGACCCCAGCGCUGGAGGCCGGAGAACCUGCACAAACAAUGCUGCGUUGAUGCACUGAAGCACCAGCAGGCCCCAGCGAGGAGCACAGCGCUGCYGAUACGGGGAGCGAGGGAGGAUCCCUGCGCUGGAGAUGUCGGGUGAGUGCCCCAAAGUGGCGCGUGACCAAAACUAAACCCCACGGUGACUUUGGGGGCCCCCGCGAGGUAGGAGGAGUUUUGCUGCUGCCCUGUGCUUUU